UACGUAGGGUGCGAGCGUUAAUCGGAAUUACUGGGCGUAAAGCGUGCGCAGGCGGUUUUGUAAGCCAGAUGUGAAGUCCCCGGGCUUAACCUGGGGAAUGGCAUUUGGGGACUGCAAGGCUCGAGUGCGGCAGAGGAGACUGGAAUUCCUGGUGUAGCAGUGAAAUGCGUAGAUAUCAGGAGGAACACCGAUGGCGAAGGCAGGUCUCUGGGCUGACACUGACGCUCAUGCACGAAAGCGUGG
rnacentral:rRNA from 1 species